GCGCGAGCGGACAUGACGUGUGGCUGUCGUAAAAACCCUAUUUGUAAACAACCAGCCCUUUAACUCGGGGCUGCGUCAUAAACACGGCGCGCUUGGAAGACCACGAUGUCAUCUUCCUUCUGUCAGGAGGAUCCAAGUGAAGCUACAGGAGUUUCAUUAACGUCAACAACUUGGACCAAACAGUUUGUUUUGCUUGAUGAAGAGCAGGAAGGGCAGCCUGGAGAGAAAGAGAAGCCGGGUUGAGCCCACUACCAUCAUCCACGUACCACGAGGAAGAUGAGGGAGAGAAAUGAUCCUACCAUUAAAGAGACUGUGAAAAGAACGUUGAGAACAUCACCACUCUACAGGAAGACACAGUCCAGUAAUGGGUGUCAGAAGUUCAGUAGUGAACGACAGAAACAAACAAUCCAAAUUACCUGCAGAAAGCCCUUGAUGGAUGCUUCAGCUGCAUCGUCAGACUGGCAGUACUGAUGCAUUUACUGAGAGGGGACGUGAGGGCCUACUCUGCGUGCUCAGAGUUCAAGCCCAGCAGGCUGCAGCGGGCCUGACAUAUUCUGGAACAGCAGCACAGUCUUUGGAUGACUCCUCUGAAGAUGAAAACAUGGCGAGUUCUUCUCAAGAGAAGCAGUACAGGUGUGCCUCAGCUCCACGGUCCCUCCUGCAGCCUCCGCUCCUGAUGCUAACCUCAUGUCUCCAUCACACCAAGCAGCAGACCUGGAUUGACAGACCUUUCUCCAGAGCUGCCCCCUCCCUCUGAAACCCCCCUCUCCAAAACACUAUUUGUGUAGUUUUUAAAGUAUUUUUUGCAUGAGAAUUGUUGAUCAUAACAUUUCCAGCAGAUGCCU